GCGAGCGAGAGAGAGAGAGAGACAGAGAGAGAGAGAGAGAGAGAGAGAAUUCUAAUCAGGGCUCCGCACUGGCAGGGCUUGAAUUGAUGAACUGUGAGCCAAAACCAAGAGUUGGAGGCUUAACCUACUGAGCCACCCAGGUGCUCCCCGCCCCCACUGCCUUGUUUUUUAAAGUUUUUACAAUUUAUUUAGAUAAUCAGGAGAGAUUUAAUGGAAUAAGUAAAAUUAAUCAGAGAUUCAAGGAAGGUGAACUCUCAAUAGGGUGAAAAGUGGGGGGCAGGGGAGUAGGCAGAGCACUGGUGAGAAAGUAUUUCUUUACUCCAAGUACAAGAGAAGCUGUCAGGCUUGGGGGUAGAGGUGGUGGCAUUGGGAGACAAACACACAGGCUUGAUUAAAGUGAGGGAUAGAGGUUUGGCAACAAAAGGAAGCAAAGCCUGGGAAUUUGAAAAAAGUUAAGGUGUUUAGACUCUAUUUUGAGGCCCAUCCACUGUGAGGAGCUUGGUUUUCUGUAUAAGGAUUCAGGCAACAUAGAUUCAGUCCCAGGUCCGUUACAUCCAAACAACAUGUUACUUAGUGAUUUAACUUUUCUGAGCCUCAGUUUCCCUUCUAUACAAUGGAGAUUUUAUCUACCAAGCAGAGUUGUGAAGGCUGCACAAAAUAACAUUUUCAUUGUCACAUUAGCUGUCACUUCCUCUCUAGUAAAUGGGCGGGGCAGGGAGGCUUGUGAAGAGGAAAAUGACAUUAUUAAAGGGAUGGAUGUGAUAUUAUGGGAAUGCCAAUUUUGUGAGGGUGUGCAGGAUGAACUGAGGAAGGGGAGUGUGUGUGUGUGUGUGUGUGUGUGUGUGUGUGUGUGUGUGUGUUAGAGGUGGGGGGAACCAGGAACAUGAGCUUGUUAGACCACAUAGAAAGACACAGGGCCCUGAACUAGCCAUACUGGCUAUGGCCACAUCAGUGGAAAUGAUGAAGUGAAUAUCAGGAGGAGGAAUGAAGCAUUUGGUGAAGAUAGAGCCACAUAUAAAAAAUGAAAUCCAGAAGAAAAAUUUCUUGAUUUCAGGAUGAAAAAAGCAGCAUACUAGUAAAAGAAAGUACUGAGGAAAAUUGUCUAAUGGACACUUGAUUUUUUUUGUUUCUGUUUUAUUUUGUUUUGUUUGCUUAGUGUCCUAACCCACUGUUUCAGGUUAGCUGCCCUAUUCUCUCUGGAUAGAUUCUUUUUCUGGCAAAUCAGAGUCCUUCAUUUUCUUGGCACAAAGACUGGCCUGGAGAAGCUAAAAGGAUAGCAGUCUGGAGAAAGCUGAGGGUAGACAAAUAAGAAGCCAAUUGGAGACCAGAGGAAAUGAGGGAAGCAGAAGAACAGACUUACAGAAGGAAUGAUCUGAGGUGAAUGUAUAGGGUUACAGUGUGCUUUUCGGCACAGACCCUUGUGCCUGAUGCUGCCCUGGAGGUAUCUGAAACCAACUGGAGGCAGAUGGUCCUGCUGACGACGGGUCAGAAGGUCAGUGGUUACCUACCUCUACGUCACAAUCCUGCAUCCUUCACCUGACUUCUCAUCACAGAGGCAUUUUCUCAUCUCACAUCAUCACAAGUAGGGGCUCAUGAAAGAUACAAGCUCAAGACAAAAGAGAACAAGAAAACCUUGGAACCAGAUUUCUGGUCACAAUAAAGAAAUUACUUUGAGGCAGUCUGGGACUAUAAUUUUUAAUUCUAAUUUAAUAUAUUCCUAUUUAUUUCUGACUGUUUCACAAAUUGGAGUUCAUAACAUAGAAACUCUUCUGGUAUUUUAAUCUAUUUUCCUGCUCUCAAGAUAUUUUUAUCUGCUUUCAUAAUCUCUUAUGAUUAUGAUAAGAAUUUUUGUCAACCUUUGAUCAUCUUGAUAUAUAAGGCAUUUUCUUUAAAGGCCUUAAACAUAGGUUACAUUUCAUUUAUCCUCCCAUAGAAUUUAGCAUUCUUUCUAUUGUAAGUGACAUUUUGUACUUCCUUGGCUUAUUCAAAAAUAAAAGAAUUUAUUGGCUCAUCUAAGUUGAGAGUGUAGGCUAGAUCAAGCUUCAGGCACAGCUGGAAUUGGAGCCAAAAACAUGUCAUAAAUAUUUGGUUUCUCACAAUCUUUCUUUUCUGCCUCUAGUCCUAUACCGGUAGCAAAAUGGCAGUAACAGCUUCAGGCUCUGUAUCUCCUCAAGUUUCAAGAUCGUGGAAAAGAGUGAUACUCUCUUUCCUAGAAGUAUCAACAAAUGGAUCUCAUUAACACUCUGUGGUUACAUGCCCACCUCUAAACCAGUUACCAUGGCUAUAGUUUACUUAAACCUGGUGGGGAGGCAUGGUAGUUACCCCUGACCUCAAGGGUAUAACCUGUUCCACCGAAGUUUAUGGACUAAUAGUGUAGGUGAAUUGGUAUUGAUCUUCCAGAAGUCCACUCCCUGAAUUCUUAGGAGCAUCAACCUUGUUGAGUACAUCCUCUUUUAAUACUAUUUUCUUGUCUUUUUUGAUGCUGUAGGAUCUUGGUGCCUUUUUUAUCUGGUCAUUGAAUGUUCAGGUCUCUCAGUGCUACGUCCUAGACACUCUUCUUGCUGGCCUCUAUUCAUUCAUACACAAGGAUUUAAUAACCACCUAAAAACCAAAGCUUUGAAAUUCUUCUGCAACACAGAGGAAACUCUGAAUUUCUAUCUCCAACUACCCACUGACCUUUCUGUUUGGUUCUCUCUCUUUUUUUUUUUUAAAUUUUUUAAAAUGUUUAUUUAUUUUUGAGAGAGACAGAGACAGAAUGCGAGUGGGUUAGGGGCAGAGAGAGAGGGAGACACAGAAUCUGAAGCAGGCUCCAGGCUCCAAGCUGUCAGCACAGAGCCCGAUGUGGGGCUUGAACACUCAAGCUGUGAGAUCAUGACCUGAGCUGAAGUUGGACACUCAACCAACUGAGCCACCGAAGUGCCCCUGUUUGGUUCUCUUAAAGUCACUUCAAACUCAACAUGUUCAAAACCACAUCCCUUUUCCCCCAAACAAACCUGGUCUGAGCUGUGUUUUUUUGUUGUGGUGAACUGAACCACUAUUUAUCCAGUUCAGCAUGUUAGAAACCUUUGU